GGGAGUAGAUGGGUGCUGGUGUGCCCUCUGGUCUUCAAAACCAGUAAUAGUAGUUAACCCUGCUUAGGUGGGUUCGAUUCCCACAUACUCCCGCCA
rnacentral:tRNA from 1 species